rnacentral:rRNA from 1 species
AUUGAACGCUGGCGGCAUGCUUUACACAUGCAAGUCGAACGGCAGCGCGGGGCUUUCGGCCUGGCGGCGAGUGGCGAACGGGUGAGUAAUAUAUCGGAACGUACCCAAGAGUGGGGGAUAACGUAGCGAAAGUUACGCUAAUACCGCAUACGAUCUAAGGAUGAAAGCAGGGGAUCGCAAGACCUUGUGCUCCCUGGAGCGGCCGAUAUCUGAUUAGCUAGUUGGUGGGGUAAAGGCCCACCAAGGCAACGAUCAGUAGACUGGUCUGAGAGGUACGACCAGCCACACUGGAACUGAGACACGGUCCAGACUCCUACGGAGGC